AACAAACGCUGGCGGCGUGCCUAAUACAUGCAAGUCGAACGAGUAGCAAUACUAGUGGCGCACGGGUGAGGAAUACAUGGGUAAUCUGCCCUCGAGUUGGGGAUAACCAGUCGAAAGAUUGGCUAAUACCGAAUAAGACCACAGGAUCUGCGGAUCUAGGGGUUAAAGGUUUUUCGCUUGAGGAUGAGCCCAUGCGGGAUUAGCUUGUUGGUGAGGUAAUGGCUCACCAAGGCUACGAUCCCUAACUGGUCUUAGAGGAUGAUCAGUCACACUGGAACUGAGACACGGUCCAGACUCCUACGGGAGGCAGCAGUAGGGAAUAUUGCACAAUGGGGGAAACCCUGAUGCAGCGACGCCGCGUGAGUGAUGAAGGCCUUCGGGUCGUAAAGCUCUGUCGUAUGGGACUAACACAAUGAAGGUACCAUGCAAGAAAGGAUCGGCUAACUUCGUG
rnacentral:rRNA from 1 species